GUGGGGAAUCUUGCGCAAUGGGCGAAAGCCUGACGCAGCCAUGCCGCGUGAAUGAUGAAGGUCUUAGGAUUGUAAAAUUCUUUCACCGGGGACGAUAAUGACGGUACCCGGAGAAGAAGCCCCGGCUAACUUCGUGCCAGCAGCCGCGGUAAUACGAAGGGGGCUAGCGUUGCUCGGAAUUACUGGGCGUAAAGGGCGCGUAGGCGGACAGUUUAGUCAGAGGUGAAAGCCCAGGGCUCAACCUUGGAAUUGCCUUUGAUACUGGCUGUCUUGAGUACGGGAGAGGUGAGUGGAACUCCGAGUGUAGAGGUGAAAUUCGUAGAUGUUCGGAAGAACACCAGUGGCGAAGGCGACUCACUGGCCCGUUACUGACGCUGAGGCGCGAAAGCGUGGGGAGCAAACAGGAUUAGAAACCCGUGUAGUCC
rnacentral:rRNA from 1 species